UACGGGGGGGGCAAGCGUUGUUCGGAAUUACUGGGCGUAAAGGGCGCGUAGGCGGCCUGCUAAGUCGGACGUGAAAUCCCUCGGCUCAACCGGGGAACUGCGUCCGAUACUGGUGGGCUCGAAUCCGGGAGAGGGAUGUGGAAUUCCAGGUGUAGCGGUGAAAUGCGUAGAUAUCUGGAGGAACACCGGUGGCGAAGGCGGCAUCCUGGACCGGCAUUGACGCUGAGGCGCGAAAGCCAGGGGAGCAAACAGG
rnacentral:rRNA from 1 species